rnacentral:sRNA from 1 species
AAGUUAUGAGCAUUUGAAGUUGGUGGUCUAGAAACCCAAAUUUUUGGAUUUGUAGGCCAUCAA